ACGGAGUCAGUUUGCAAUCGUGAGGCUGUGCUUGCGUGUACUGGACGCGGACAAGGUGAUACCCCGUAGGUCUUAGCACGCUGUCGAGGGUCUCUUCCCAAUAGCCAGGGCGACUUCGAUUGACCCCCUGAGGACAAGCACUUCUGACUGAAUAUUGACUUGCUCCAUCAGAAUGCCUAAAAAAAAAUUCAGAGAAGGUCCCUUUGAAGCAAGUGGUGAAGGAGAUGCAAAAAAACUAAGAGGAACCAGGAGAAGGAA